rnacentral:lncRNA from 1 species
CCGAGUAUCUAUAUGAUUGCAGAUGUCAUACAUAUUAUUCCUAACAUCUAUUGCGAGCGUAUCGAAAUUUGCAAAGUUUUAAUUUAAACUGAACCCUCAACAUUAUAAUAAAUAACUAAUUAUCUAAAUGGUGCACAAACAUUUAAAUAAUGCAACAAUGUAUACAAGAUCAAUCAAGAACAUGAAUAGAUUAAACUACUUGUUCUUUGAAUUAAAAAUGAGAAAUGAUAAGGUUCAUAUUCAUCCCAACGUAAAGGAACUCCCAUAAUUCUAAUGUUAUUACAAGAAGAAUAAUGAAAACACAUCACCCAAAUUUAUAUGAACACAAGAAAUAUGUGGAAGCAAUUCUUGUUCUUUAUCUUCAAUUUCAAGUCUUGAUUCUUCAUCUUUUUUAUGCAAAUUACCUUCAAUAUUUUGCUAAGUUUGAUCUUCUCUCUCAAAAGAUAGUGAAUUUACCUCUUGUUCUUGAUGAACUUUCUGAUAAGAAUUAAUUAGAGCGAGUAGAGAGAUAUUUCCAAGGGUUUAGCCCAUAUUAUGGGCUUAUAGCCGUCGAAUUUAGGUAAAGAAGGCGUCCAAAAUUGUUGCCAAAAAGAGUUUAAGCCGUAGAAGGAAACUGUCUGUCUAACCAAACUUUGACCCAUGCGCACUUGCUUGCAUGCGGAUACUUCAACUUCUCUUCCUUCUGGUUCGGCAGAAACCUACCUUGCUUACGCACUAGCACACGCAUGACAUUUCAGAUUUAGGAACCAGUUUGUAAUUGAUCCCUGGACUUCCUCCAAGCUAUAAGUUGAUUCUUUUUUCGUGCAAUUUCACUUAUUUGUCUUUUAUUCUUGUCCUAUUGCCUCUCCAUAUUCUUCACUCACAGAUAAGUGUUCAGAAUCAACUAUUGAAAAAUUGCAAUUUGAUUCCCAAACUUUGAAAAUCAUUCUUUUUAUGCUAAUUUUCUUCUUCCAAUUUCACGUCCAAUUACUGAGUUUUACUUAACAAACAAAAUAUACGAGUCAUUAGAAAUAUUUUCAAAUAUUCUAAUUUAACGAUGUAAGAUAAGUGUAUAAACAACCACCACCACCAACACCACCACCCCCUAAAUAUCUAAUCUGAGACCACAUUCACCUGUCAAUUACAUGAACGGCCACAUUCUCUCAUUGCAUCACCACCACUUUUUAUUCCAACCACUUUUCCACCACCUGCAAGCCCAACAACUUUGUCCACAGCUCCGUCAAUAGCAUCUUUUCACCAUCCCAAAACCAUCACCAUCUCCAUCUCGUCCCAACUCCAUCUAAUGUCACAUUUGAAGUGGAACACACAUCUAUGGCUGGCUAGCUCUUCUUUUAGGUUUCCUAUAUAAGAUAAUCUCCCCCCCCCUCUUUUUGGAUAUUUUAGGGAUGGCAUGGAGGGUGGGGAUGGUGAUUUUUGUGGUUGUCUUUAUGGUGUUGAUGGCUAUGAUGAUGAUUUCUGUGUUUUUGUGGGGAUUCGUGAUGGUGGUAAAAUGGAGUGGUGGUGAUUGCGAUUUUGAGGUAUUCUGGAGAUGAUGAUUACUGCGGGUGUUCAUGGUGGUUAUAACAAUUGUGUUAUUGGACAAUAGCAUUAGUUGUGUAACAAUUAAUAUUUCAAAAUGUGGUAAUGGGAUGGUGUAAGAAUAGAUGUUACAAAUGGUGG